rnacentral:lncRNA from 1 species
AGUGCCAAGUAAUUGGACUUUGACACGAUUGCCGGGAUAAGUACAAACAUGCACCAUUAUACUAUGGGUAAGUGCCAGUGAUUGCCUGGAAAUAUAGAGAUUGUGGAGCAUGUUCCCUGGCUUCUGGUGGCUAUGGGCACCGUCUUGUGGUGUGGGUGAGUGAUAGUAUCCAAUGUCCCUUGGUUGUACCAACUUUUGACCAAUUUCGAUCUAUCUAGGUCCAUGAAAUGGGCCAGGUUCUGACUCAAUCCAUGGGAAUCGAUUCAUGUAGCCUCCUGGUCGAUGGGCACCAUGAGGCUCGGCUGGCAUCCACCGAUCCUGCUAGAUUCCAUUCUAGGCCCCAUGUAACACCCAUUUGUGCCCUAAUUCAACCACAUCGUAUGGCAAGUUGAACCUUUUUGACUACUAUUCUAAAUCUCGCAUGUGUCUCACACCCGGAACAUAUUUCUAUCAUAGAGGUAUAUCGUGCCAUGUAAUCCAGUUUAACAGAAUAAUAAAUACACAAUAAUCCAGAACCUCAUCCAAAUUUGGCUCCAUAUAAGU